UACGGGGGGGGCAAGCGUUGUUCGGAAUUACUGGGCGUAAAGGGCGCGUAGGCGGCCUGCUAAGUCGGACGUGAAAUCCCUCGGCUCAACCGAGGAACUGCGUCCGAUACUGGUGGGCUUGAAUCCGGGAGAGGGAUGUGGAAUUCCAGGUGUAGCGGUGAAAUGCGUAGAUAUCUGGAGGAACACCGGUGGCGAAGGCGGCAUCCUGGACCAACACUGACGCUGAGUGAGCGAAAGCCAGGGGAGCAAACGGG
rnacentral:rRNA from 1 species